UAGGGAAUCUUCCGCAAUGGGGGCAACCCUGACCGAGCAACGCCGCGUGAGUGAAGAAGGUUUUCGGAUCGUAAAGCUCUGUUGUAAGUCAAGAACGAGUGUGAGAGUGGAAAGUUCACACUGUGACGGUAUCUUACCAGAAAGGGACGGCUAACUACGUGCCAGCAGCCGCGGUAAUACGUAGGUCCCGAGCGUUGUCCGGAUUUAUUGGGCGUAAAGCGAGCGCAGGCGGUUUGAUAAGUCUGAAGUUAAAGGCUGUGGCUCAACCAUUGUUCGCUUUGGAAACUGUCAAACUUGAGUGCAGAAGGGGAGAGUGGAAUUCCAUGUGUAGCGGUGAAAUGCGUAGAUAUAUGGAGGAACACCGGUGGCGAAAGCGGCUCUCUGGUCUGUAACUGACGCUGAGGCUCGAAAGCGUGGGGAGCGAACAGGAUUAGAUACCCUGGUAGUCCACGCCGUAAACGAUGAGUGCUAGGUGUUGGAUCCUUUCCGGGAUUCAGUGCCGCAGCUAACGCAUUAAGCACUCCGCCUGGGGAGUACGACCGCAAGGUUG
rnacentral:rRNA from 1 species